GUCGAACGCGUUGGCCCAAUUGAUUGAUGGUGCUUGCACCUGAUUGAUUUUGGUCGCCAACGAGUGGCGGACGGGUGAGUAACACGUAGGUAACCUGCCCAGAAGCGGGGGACAACAUUUGGAAACAGAUGCUAAUACCGCAUAACAGCGUUGUUCGCAUGAACAACGCUUAAAAGAUGGCUUCUCGCUAUCACUUCUGGAUGGACCUGCGGUGCAUUAGCUUGUUGGUGGGGUAACGGCCUACCAAGGCGAUGAUGCAUAGCCGAGUUGAGAGACUGAUCGGCCACAAUGGGACUGAGACACGGCCCAUACUCCUACGGGAGGCAGCAGUAGGGAAUCUUCCACAAUGGGCGCAAGCCUGAUGGAGCAACACCGCGUGAGUGAAGAAGGGUUUCGGCUCGUAAAGCUCUGUUGUUAAAGAAGAACACGUAUGAGAGUAACUGUUCAUACGUUGACGGUAUUUAACCAGAAAGUCACGGCUAACUACGUGCCAGCAGCCGCGGUAAUACGUAGGUGGCAAGCGUUAUCCGGAUUUAUUGGGCGUAAAGAGAGUGCAGGCGGUUUUCUAAGUCUGAUGUGAAAGCCUUCGGCUUAACCGGAGAAGUGCAUCGGAAACUGGAUAACUUGAGUGCAGAAGAGGGUAGUGGAACUCCAUGUGUAGCGGUGGAAUGCGUAGAUAUAUGGAAGAACACCAGUGGCGAAGGCGGCUACCUGGUCUGCAACUGACGCUGAGACUCGAAAGCAUGGGUAGCGAACAGGAUUAGAUACCCUGGUAGUCCAUGCCGUAAACGAUGAGUGCUAGGUGUUGGAGGGUUUCCGCCCUUCAGUGCCGGAGCUAACGCAUUAAGCACUCCGCCUGGGGAGUACGACCGCAAGGUUGAAACUCAAAGGAAUUGACGGGGGCCCGCACAAGCGGUGGAGCAUGUGGUUUAAUUCGAAGCUACGCGAAGAACCUUACCAGGUCUUGACAUCUUGCGCCAACCCUAGAGAUAGGGCGUUUCCUUCGGGAACGCAAUGACAGGUGGUGCAUGGUCGUCGUCAGCUCGUGUCGUGAGAUGUUGGGUUAAGUCCCGCAACGAGCGCAACCCUUGUUACUAGUUGCCAGCAUUAAGUUGGGCACUCUAGUGAGACUGCCGGUGACAAACCGGAGGAAGGUGGGGACGACGUCAGAUCAUCAUGCCCCUUAUGACCUGGGCUACACACGUGCUACAAUGGACGGUACAACGAGUCGCGAACUCGCGAGGGCAAGCAAAUCUCUUAAAACCGUUCUCAGUUCGGACUGCAGGCUGCAACUCGCCUGCACGAAGUCGGAAUCGCUAGUAAUCGCGGAUCAGCAUGCCGCGGUGAAUACGUUCCCGGGCCUUGUACACACCGCCCGUCACACCAUGAGAGUUUGUAACACCCAAAGUCGGUGGG
rnacentral:rRNA from 1 species